GACGAACGCUGGCGGCGUGCUUUACACAUGCAAGUCGAACGGUGAUGCUCCAGCUUGCUGGAGUGGAUCAGUGGCGAACGGGUGAGUAACACGUGAGCAACCUGCCCCAGACUCUGGAAUAAGCGCUGGAAACGGCGUCUAAUACUGGAUACGAAACUGGCCCGCAUGGGCAUGGUUUGGAAAGUUUUUCGGUUUGGGAUGGGCUCGCGGCCUAUCAGCUUGUUGGUGAGGUAAUGGCUCACCAAGGCGACGACGGGUAGCCGGCCUGAGAGGGCGACCGGCCACACUGGGACUGAGACACGGCCCAGACUCCUACGGGAGGCAGCAGUGGGGAAUAUUGCACAAUGGGCGAAAGCCUGAUGCAGCGACGCCGCGUGAGGGAUGACGGCCUUCGGGUUGUAAACCUCUUUCAGCAGGGAAGAAGCGAAAGUGACGGUACCUGCAGAAGAAGCACCGGCUAACUACGUG
rnacentral:rRNA from 1 species